GGAGCCCCUGCGGUCAGAUUCUCAGAUUACGCUUUAAAAAAGAGGAGUUUACCAUCUGAAGUUAUCCACAGUAUCGCACCAAGAACAAAUAGUGUUAGUGUCACACAUGAUGUGGUCUUGGCAAUUCCAAACAACGCCAGUUCUGACAUUAUAUAUGAGGGAGAUUUCAAAGCAGUUGAGGAGGCUGUUGGAGAGCUUUUUUGC